rnacentral:rRNA from 1 species
UACGAAGGGGACUAGCGUUGUUCGGAAUCACUGGGCGUAAAGCGCACGUAGGCGGAUUUGUAAGUCAGGGGUGAAAUCCCGGGGCUCAACCUCGGAACUGCCUUUGAUACUGCGAAUCUCGAGUCCGAUAGAGGUGGGUGGAAUUCCUAGUGUAGAGGUGAAAUUCGUAGAUAUUAGGAAGAACACCGGUGGCGAAGGCGGCCCACUGGAUCGGUACUGACGCUGAGGUGCGAAAGCGUGGGAGCAAACAGG